UACGUAGGGUGCGAGCGUUAAUCGGAAUUACUGGGCGUAAAGCGUGCGUAGGCGGUUGGCUAAGUCAGAUGUGAAAUCCCUCGGCUCAACCGAGGAACGUCGAUCGAUACUGCUGUUCUUGAGGAUUGCAGAGGAGACUGGAAUUCCCGGUGUAGCGGUGAAAUGUGUAGAGAUCGGGAGGAACACCGGUGGCGAAGGCGGGUCUCUGGGCAAUUCCUGACGCUGAGGCGCGAAAGCGUGGGGAGCAAACGGG
rnacentral:rRNA from 1 species